GUUUGAUCCUGGCUCAGGAUGAACGCUAGCGGCAGGCCUAACACAUGCAAGUCGAGGGGCAGCAUUUCUAGCUUGCUAGAAGAUGGCGACCGGCGCACGGGUGCGUAACGCGUAUACAAUCUACCUUUUACAGGGGGAUAGCCUUUAGAAAUGAAGAAUAAUACCCCAUAGUAAGUAUUUAUGGCAUCAUAAGAACUUUAAAGUUUCGACGGUAAAAGAUGAGUAUGCGUUCUAUUAGCUAGAUGGUGUGGUAACGGCACACCAUGGCAACGAUAGAUAGGGGCCCUGAGAGGGGGAUCCCCCACACUGGUACUGAGACACGGACCAGACUCCUACGGGAGGCAGCAGUGAGGAAUAUUGGACAAU
rnacentral:rRNA from 1 species